rnacentral:piRNA from 2 species
UGCAAUAGGGAAGUCUAUUUGGGGUGUUUUU